rnacentral:rRNA from 1 species
UACCAGCACCCCGAGUGGUCGGGACGAUUAUUGGGCCUAAAGCAUCCGUAGCCGGUUCUACAAGUCUUCCGUUAAAUCCACCUGCUCAACAGAUGGGCUGCGGAGGAUACUAUAGAGCUAGGAGGCGGGAGAGGCAAGCGGUACUUAGUGGGUAGGGGUAAAAUCCGUUGAUCCAUUGAAGACCACCAGUGGCGAAGGCAGCUUGCCAGAACGCACUCGACGGUGAGGGAUGAAAGCUGGGGGAGCAAACCGG